rnacentral:rRNA from 1 species
AUUCCAGCUCCAAUAGCGUAUAUUUAAGUUGUUGCAGUUAAAAAGCUCGUAGUUGGAUUUUGGGUCGGGGGUACCGGUCCGGUGUUUCACUGUGCACUGGUCUCCCCUUCCUUUCUGCCGGGGACGGCGUUUGCUCUUUACUGAGCGGCGUCGGAGUCGGCGUUGUUACUUUGAAAAAAUUAGAGUGUUCAAAGCAAGCCAUCGCUCUGAAUACAUUAGCAUGGAAUAACAUGAUAGGACUCUGGUCUUAUUUUGUUGGUUUCCGAGACUGGAGUAAUGAUUAAGAGGGACAGUCGGGGGCAUCCGUAUUUCAUUGUCAGAGGUGAAAUUCUUGGAUUUAUGAAAGACGAACUUCUGCGAAAGCAUUUGCCAAGGAUGUUUUCAUUA